UAAGUAAGCGGAGGACAAGAAACUAAACAGGAUUCCCUUAGUAAUGGCGAAUGAACAGGGAUGAGCUCAACAUGGAAAUCGCGGCUCCUGGCCGUGAAUUGUAAUUUCAAGAUGCUUCGCUAACGAGGGCGUAGGUGUAAGCCUCUUGGAAAAGAGCACCACCGAGGGUGAGAGUCCCGCUUGUCACCUACAGCCCCUCGUGUUCGGCAGGCGAUCUUCGAGUCACGUUCCUCGGGAUUGGAGCGCAAAGUGGGUGGUAAAUUUCAUCUCAGGCUAAAUAUGGGUUCGAAACCGAUAGCAAACAAGUACCAUGAGGGAAAGAUGAAAAGGACUUUGAAAAGAGAGUUAAAAGUGCCUGAACUCGCUGAAAGGAAAGCGGAUGGAGCCACUCCUCCUUGGCGAGAUUGUUUCGCGCAUCAGUGACUGUCUGUCGAACUAGCGCAAGCAGUUCGGUGGGUUCCGAUCUGGCUGCGCGCGAUGCUUCUUGCCUGGCGCGUCACCGACUGCGCGAUGGCGGGGAUAACUCUGGGGACACGGUAGCGCAGCUUCGGCCGCGUGAAUGUGCUCGGUAGUGCCUGCCCGCGCGCAGUACCAUCGCUUCAGACUGCGCUGCUCACCCGUUGGCGCGCCCUUGCGCCCGUCUCCUGGUGGCACCCCUCUGAGGCUCACGUGGUGGCGAAAUGGUUCCAUUCGACCCGUCUUGAAACACGGACCAAGGAGUCUAACAUAUGCGCGAGUUCUUGGGUGUCAAACCUACGUGUGCAAUGAAAGUGAGUACUGAGACAUUUUGCAUCAGCAGCCGACCGAUCGAUUGGGAGAGGUUUGAGCAUGAGCAUAUCUGUUAGGACCCGAAAGAUGGUGAACUAUGCCUGAGAAGGGCGAAGUCUGGGGAAACUCAGAUGGAGGCUCGUAGCGGUACUGACGUGCAAAUCGUUCGUCAUACUUGGGUAUAGGGGCGAAAGACUAAUCGAACCAUC
rnacentral:rRNA from 1 species